AAUCCACAUUGUAAGGCACAUAGUAAGCAGUCAAGAAUAUUUGUGGUUCUACCGACUGAAGUGAUCCUAUCUUGUGACUCAUUCAUGGCACGUCUAUAAGUCAAGCUGGAAUCCUCUAAAAUAAGUCACCCGGGAAAAAAUUCUGAUCUUAUUCUAGACGAAGAAUGAAAAGCCAGGAAGCUACAUAACCCAAGAAGUACGGCCUUUGAAGAGAAUGACAGUCAGAAAAGGGAUUAAGUGGCACAUUUCUUUCAGAUGACUGAUGCUCCUGUGCCUUUCUAGGAUUUUAGCACACAGAAGAAAUGUCCCUACCCAUGCAUACAGAAAUGCAUAAGAACAGGAAGUGAAGUAUUGUUUAUCAGGAAAAACAGCAUUUACGUAUUAUUUACAAAAAUUGAGGCCGAUCUCCAAGCUCUACUGUGGAAAGAGUUCAUCAAGUUCCUAGACUGAAGAAAGCUAAUUGCAAGAAAUACAUAUGUAGUAUGAACAAGUUUCAUUAUAAAUAAGAGUAAAAGCGUGCAUUGUAUAUGUACAUCCUUGUGUCUGUGUGUAUGUGUGUGUAAAAGUGUUUUUGUGUGUGUAUAAAAUCUAGAACAAUGAACAAUCUUCACCAAUCUUGUAAAGUGUUUAUGUUUGGGAAAUGAAAAUGGAGAGGAGAAAUUUCUGCUCU